rnacentral:rRNA from 1 species
UACGUAGGGUGCAAGCGUUGUCCGGAAUUAUUGGGCGUAAAGAGCUCGUAGGCGGUUUGUCGCGUCGAAUGUGAAAACCCGGGGCUCAACCCCGGGCCUGCAUUCGAUACGGGCAGACUAGAGUUCGGUAGGGGAGUCUGGAAUUCCUGGUGUAGCGGUGAAAUGCGCAGAUAUCAGGAGGAACACCGGUGGCGAAAGCGGCUCUCUGGGACGGUACUGACGCUGAGACGCGAAAGCGUGGGGAGCAAACAGG